UUAAGGAUCAGGGAUAAUCAUAGACAACUGUUAGAGAUUGUCAAUCAAGAGAAUCACUGAUAGUGUUGCAAAAAAAACGAUAAUCAUUGAUAAGAUUAAUAAUGAUCUUAACAUUAUUCUAAAUCUAUAUAUAUAUAAAAAUGUUUGCAUCCUUCCUGUUGCGCCACGUCACAAAGUCGUUGAUUGUGAGUGCGACACCUGUCCAACUUUUUUUUUACUUUUCGUUUGGUUUUUUGGGUUUCACGAGUGGGCUUCUGCUGUUCGUUAAAUGAGCCCAAGUCUUAAAUCCCUGCUUUUUCUUCUACCAACUAAACCAGAGACGAGCCAGCACACACUCUAUAACAUCCUCACCUGUGAUACGCAUCACUUGAUUAAAUCUAGAAACUUUGUUUCUCGCAAAAACUCCAAAGGUUUACAUCUAAGCCUGCGAUGUUGGUUAUUCUGGAAAAAUUGGUUAAGUUGAUACUGUUCUCUGUUUUAUCAGACUGAGAAAAAGCUAUAGAACUGAUCCAAACAGAGAAAAAGCUGUCACUGUAUGUUGAUGAAAUGUAAAUAAAAUCCCAAUUUAUCAAGUAAAACAAAGAAGAAGAAAGUGAAAGAAGCAAACUACAUCUCUUAACGGGCAUGAGAAAAAACGAAACGAGGGAGGAAAACGAAGUAGGAGAGCAAGACAAAGCAGAAUUAAAUGAAAAGGGAGAUUAGGUGGUGAAGAAAAAGAUGCGGUGAGGUGGUGAAACGAAGAAGAAUAGGUUUUGUCGGCUGAGAGUGUAACAUCGAAGAUAUAUUUUUUCUUUUUCUCUUUAGGCCAGUUAAACAUUCGUUUUUUUUUUAUCGACUUUCUUAUCAUUAAGAAGCCCAGAUGGGCAAAUAUACAAGCUUACAUACAAAGGUCCAUUCCAGUACAACAACCCCAAUAUUAAUUAAGCCCAUAAACCCAAACUAGGACUUAAACAUUCGUUUUAUGGUACAAAAUCGAAUUAAAGUCAAUGAAUAACCCAAUAACUAAAAUUCAUUAACACAAAAAAUAUGGAUAUCAGACAAAGAAAACCCCUUACUAUACGCCUAAAAAUAUGACCAUCAGUUUAAAAAUAAUACAUCAAAUGACCUAUCAUUUUCAAAUAAAAAAACCUAUAAUACACUAGAAUGUGUCCGCGCUACGCGCGGAUUGUGCCGUUAUAAAUUUUUUUUUUUAAUUUAGUAUAAAAAUAUCAUUUGAUUAUUUUGUCAUAAAGAACCAACAAAGUAUCAAUUGAAAAGUAACUAUUUUGUUGUUGUUUUUUUUUUAACUUACUAUUUUGUUGUUUUUUGUGUAUGUUUUGUCGAUGAUCUCUUUUAGUCUUAAGAUGUAUUUACAACAAAACUUUUAUGCAUGUAAGUUUAAUAUUUUCAAAAAAAUUCAGACUAAUUAGAGUUAGACAUUUUGAGAAAUAAACCAUGCAUAUCGAGAUGAAGUGGUUAUGCUUUUCCUUAGAGAAACAUAUUUUGUUUUUUUUUUAAAUCAUUGAAAACAUGUGGACAGUGUAACUUUUAAAGUAGCAUUCAAUAUGAAACAAAAUAUUUCCAGCAAGAUAAAACAAUUUUACGACUCGAAUAUUUAUUCAAAGAAUCUUCUUCUUCCUCUGCCCUUGUGACUUUUGUUGUUUCAGCCGGUGUAAUCUUUCUUUUUAUGACGUCAAUACGUAUAAAAAAACACAUGUAUUCAUUAACAAACGAUAGUCUAAGAAAUAGAUCUGUGAUUAACCAUAAUAUAUCAACACAAUGAAUACUAAUUUAAUCCAAGAAACGGAUCUGUGAUAGACACCACACAAAAUUUGAAA